rnacentral:rRNA from 1 species
GAUGAACGCUAGCGGCAGGCUUAACACAUGCAAGUCGUGGGGCAGCGCGAGGUAGCAAUACUUUGGCGGCGACCGGCAAACGGGUGCGGGACACGUACGCAACCUUCCUCAGAGCGGGGAAUAGCCUCUCGAAAGAGAGAUUAAUACCCCAUAGUAUCUCGAAACUGCAUGGUUUUGAGAUUAAAGCUUCGGCACUUUGAGAUGGGCGUGCGGCUGAUUAGGUAGUUGGUAGGGUAACGGCCUACCAAGCCAACGAUCAGUAGCUGAUGUGAGAGCAUGAUCAGCCACACGGGCACUGAGACACGGGCCCGACUCCUACGGGAGGCAGCAGUGAGGAAUAUUGGUCAAUGGAGGAAACUCUGAACCAGCCAUGCCGCGUGAAGGA